GACGUAGGGCGCGAGCGUUGUCCGGAUUUAUUGGGCGUAAAGAGCUCGUAGGCGGCUUGUUGCGUCGACCGUGAAAACCCGGGGCUCAACUUCGGGCUUGCGGUCGAUACGGGCGGGCUAGAGUUCGGUAGGGGAGACUGGAAUUCCUGGUGUAGCGGUGAAAUGCGCAGAUAUCAGGAGGAACACCGGUGGCGAAGGCGGGUCUCUGGGACGGUACUGACGCUGAGGCGCGAAAGCCAGGGGAGCAAACGGG
rnacentral:rRNA from 1 species